rnacentral:rRNA from 1 species
UACGUAGGAUGCAAGCGUUGUCCGGAAUUAUUGGGCGUAAAGAGCGAGCAGGCGGUUCAUCGAGUCAGAUGUAAAAUAUCCCGGCUUAACCGGGAGGGGCCAUUUGAAACUGAUGGACUAGAGUGGAGCAGAGGAUAGUGGAAUUCCCGGUGUAGUGGUGAAAUGCGUAGAUAUCGGGAGGAACACCAGUGGCGAAGGCGACUAUCUGGGCUUUAACUGACGCUGAGGCGCGAAGGCCGGGGGAGCAAACAGG